rnacentral:lncRNA from 1 species
AGAAACUAUUUUGAAGAAAUCAUCACUGUUUUAAGAAACUGAGGAUAAAAGACAGCAGAGGCUGGACUUAUAAGGAUUUCCAUAUGGAUUGCAGCCUUGACAUGGAAAAGUGAAAAUCAAUUUGGAUGCACAGCAGGCCCAGAGCAUAAGAAGUGACAUGGAGAACUCUAUCCUGGGGGAAGGGUGAGAGAAAGGAGAGUCUGCAUGUAAUGAGACCAGAAAUCAAAGGGGGAAUGAAUGAGCUGAAACCUCUGUGCACAAGAAGCCCAGCAGAGUAGCUAAAGAUGGAGGAAUCUGUAGUCACCUUUGACUCCCAGGCCACACUGGGCUUCCAUAAUGCCACAACUCCAGGGGAAAGGGGGAAAGUCCAAAUAACCUAAGG